rnacentral:lncRNA from 1 species
GUUUGUCAGGCUGGGGAGAAAACUUGAUGAGGAAGCCAAAUUGUGAUUUGUUCAGGUUUCCACCUGAUUGAUAGUCUUCAAAGCCACCAGGUUUGCUGUCAGCUAAAGGAUGCACCUGAAGAUUGUGCUUCAGGGGAAAAUGCAAGAAACCAAGAUUCUGGGGCACAUCAGCUAUCUCAACUAAUGUCCAUUUGAAGGGGGAAAACACCACUGUUUGUUGGCACUGAAGAAAGGGUAUUCCUGUGAU